GUUAAACGAUGUCGAUUUGGAGGUUGUUCCCUUGAGGAGUGGCUUCCGGAGCUAACGCGUUAAAUCGACCGCUGGGGAGUACGGCCGCAAGGUUAAAACUCAAAUGAAUUGACGGGGGCCCGCACAAGCGGUGGAGCAUGUGGUUUAAUUCGAUGCAACGCGAAGAACCUUACCUACUCUUGACAUCCAGAGAAUUUAGCAGAGAUGCUUUAGUGCCUUCGGGAACUCUGAGACAGGUGCUGCAUGGCUGUCGUCAGCUCGUGUUGUGAAAUGUUGGGUUAAGUCCCGCAACGAGCGCAACCCUUAUCCUUUGUUGCCAGCACGUUAUGGUGGGAACUCAAAGGAGACUGCCGGUGAUAAACCGGAGGAAGGUGGGGAUGACGUCAAGUCAUCAUGGCCCUUACGAGUAGGGCUACACACGUGCUACAAUGGCGUAUACAAAGAGAAGCGACCUCGCGAGAGCAAGCGGAACUCAUAAAGUACGUCGUAGUCCGGAUUGGAGUCUGCAACUCGACUCCAUGAAGUCGGAAUCGCUAGUAAUCGUAGAUCAGAAUGCUACGGUGAAUACGUUCCCGGGCCUUGUACACACCGCCCGUCACACCAUGGGAGUGGGUUGCAAAAGAAGUAGGUAGCUUAACCUUCGGGAGGGCGCUUACCACUUUGUGAUUCAUGACUGGGGUGAAGUCGUAACAAGGUAACCA
rnacentral:rRNA from 1 species